rnacentral:rRNA from 1 species
AGGCCCUUCGGGGUACUCGAGCGGCGAACGGGUGAGUAACACGUGAGCAACCUGCCCCUAGCUCUGGGAUAGCUCCGGGAAACCGGGAUUAAUACCAGAUACGACCACUUUAGACAUCUGCUGUGGUGGAAAGGAUUCCGGCUAGGGAUGGGCUCGCGGCCUAUCAGCUUGUUGGUGGGGUAACGGCCUACCAAGGCGACGACGGGUAGCCGGCCUGAGAGGGCGACCGGCCACACUGGGACUGAGACACGGCCCAGACUCCUACGGGAGGCAGCAGUGGGGAAUAUUGCGCAAUGGGCGAAAGCCUGACGCAGCGACGCCGCGUGGGGGAUGAAGGCCUUCGGGUUGUAAACCCCUUUCAGCAGGGACGAAGCGAAAGUGACGGUACCUGCAGAAGAAGCGCCGGCUAACUACGUGCCAGCAGCCGCGGUAACACGUAGGGCGCAAGCGUUGUCCGGAAUUAUUGGGCGUAAAGAGCUCGUAGGCGGUCUGUUGCGUCCGCUGUGAAAACUCGGGGCUUAACCCCGAGCCUGCAGUGGAUACGGGCAGACUAGAGGUAGGUAGGGGAGAAUGGAAUUCCCGGUGUAGCGGUGAAAUGCGCAGAUAUCGGGAGGAACACCGGUGGCGAAGGCGGUUCUCUGGGCCUUACCUGACGCUGAGGAGCGAAAGCGUGGGGAGCGAACAGGAUUAGAUACCCUGGUAGUCCACGCCGUA